CCUACGGGGGGCUGCAGUGAGGAAUAUUGGUCAAUGGCCGAGAGGCUGAACCAGCCAAGUCGCGUGAGGGAAGACGGCACUACGGGUUGUAAACCUCUUUUGUCGGGGAGCAAAGCGAGUCACGUGUGACUCAUUGAGAGUACCCGAAGAAAAAGCAUCGGCUAACUCCGUGCCAGCAGCCGCGGUAAUACGGAGGAUGCGAGCGUUAUCCGGAUUUAUUGGGUUUAAAGGGUGCGCAGGCGGCCUGUUAAGUCAGCGGUAAAAGCGCGGGGCUCAACCCCGGCGAGCCGUUGAAACUGGCGGGCUGGAGUUGGAGAGAAGUAUGCGGAAGGCGGGGUGGAGCGGUGAAAUGCUUAGAUAUCGCGAAGAACCCCGAUUGCGAAGGCAGCGUACCGGCUCCACACUGACGCGGAGGCACGAAAGCGUGGGUAUCGAACAGGAUUAGAUACCCGGGUAGUC
rnacentral:rRNA from 1 species